rnacentral:miRNA from 1 species
UAACUCAACCUUACAAAACC